CCUACGGGAGACUGCAGUGGGGGAUAUUGGACAAUGGGCGGAAGCCUGAUCCAGCGACGCCGCGUGAGGGAAGAAGGAUUUCGGUAUGUAAAGCUCUUUUAGCAGGGAAGAAAGAAGUGACGGUACCUGACGAAGAAGCCUCGGCUAACUACGUGCCAGCAGCCGCGGUAAUACGUAGGCGGCAAGCGUUAUCCGGAUUUACUGGGUGUAAGGGGAGCGUAGGCGGUUAUGUAAGUCUGGAGUGAAAGUCCGGGGCCCAACCCCGGGCCUGCUCUUGAAACUGUUGAACUUGAGUGCAGGAGAGGUAAGCGGAAUGCCUGGUGUAGCGGUGAAAUGCGUAGAUAUUAGGAGGAACACCGGUGGCGAAGGCGGCUUACUGGACUGUAACUGACGUUGAGGCACGAAAGCGUGGGGAGCAAACAGGAUUAGAUACCCCGGUAGUC
rnacentral:rRNA from 1 species